rnacentral:rRNA from 1 species
CGAACGGGUGAGUAACGCGUGAGGAACCUGCCUCAAAGAGGGGGACAACAGUUGGAAACGACUGCUGAUACCGCAUAAGCCCACGGCUCGGCAUCGAGCAGAGGGAAAAGGAACAAUCCGCUUUGAGAUGGCCUCGCGUCCGAUUAGCUAGUUGGUGAGGUAACGGCCCACCAAGGCGACGAUCGGUAGCCGGACUGAGAGGUUGGACGGCCACAUUGGGACUGAGACACGGCCCAG